GGGCUCAGAGAGAGAGAUGGGGAGAGAGAGAAAUUAAGAGAAAGAGGGUGAGGGAGAGAUAUGGAGAGAAACAAGGAGAGAGAGAGGGAUGAGAGAAAGAGGGAGAGAGAGGAGGAAGAGAGAGAGAAAGAGGGAGAGAUGGAGAGAAAGAGAGAAAGAGAUAUGGAGAGAGGGAGGGAGAGGAGGGAGAGAAAAAAUGAGGAAGAGGGAGAGAUAUGGAGGGAAACAGGGAGAGAGAGAGAGAGAGAGACAGGAGGAGAAUAGCUGUUGGGGUUUAGAGUGUGCUGCCAAGUCAUAUGACAUUCCAGUGGGGGGAACUAGAGGAGGGGGAACCUUGGAAGAGGAGGAGCAUGGUUCAGGGGGGAUCUUCUUUGGCAUCGCACCAGGUCUAAGGAGGGACGGGGUAACCAUAACGAUCAGUGAUGCUGCUGCUGAAGAGAACCAAUCAGAACAUCAACAAGACAGUCUAGUUUUAAUGAACAAUACAACCUGCCAUCUUUUUUAUUAUUUUAUUGACUUUUUCACGUUUCCAAUGUAUUGUAAUUGGAAGAGAAGAAAAGAUAACAAAAAGGCACAAAUUCACAGUAAAAGAAACAGAAACGAGGGAGUGAGAGGGGGAGAGAGAGAGGGGGGAAGAGAGAAAGAGAGAGAGGGAUAGAGGGAGAGAGAGAGAUAAGACAAAAACAUCAAUACUCUGGGGUUCUGAACUCAUUAUCAAUACUCUGGGGUUCUGAACUCAUUAUCAACAGUCUGGGGUUCUGGACUCAUUAUCAAUACUCUGGGGUUCUGAACUCAUUAUCAAUACUCUGGGGUUCUGGACUCAUUAUCAAUACUCUGGGGUUCUGAACUCAUUAUCAAUACUCUGGGGUUCUGGACUCAUUAUCAAUACUCUGGGGUUCUGAACUCAUUAUCAACAGUCUGGGGUUCUGGACUCAUUAUCAAUACUCUGGGGUUCUGGACUCAUUAUCAAUACUCUGGGGUUCUGAACUCAUUAUCAAUACUCUGGGGUUCUGAACUCAUUAUCAAUACUCUGGGGUUCUGGACUCAUUAUCAAUACUCUGGGGUUCUGAACUCAUUAUCAAUACUCUGGGGUUCUGGACUCAUUAUCAAUACUCUGGGGUUCUGGACUCAUUAUCAAUACUCUGGGGUUCUGGACUCAUUAUCAAUACUCUGGGGUUCUGAACUCAUUAUCAAUACUCUGGGGUUCUGGACUCAUUAUCAAUACUCUGGGGUUCUGGACUCAUUAUCAAUACUCUGGGGUUCUGGACUCAUUAUCAAUACUCUGGGGUUCUGGACUCAUUAUCAAUACUCUGGGGUUCUGAACUCAUUAUCAAUACUCUGGGGUUCUGGACUCAUUAUCAAUACUCUGGGGUUCUGAACUCAUUAUCAAUACUCUGGGGUUCUGGACUCAUUAUCAAUACUCUGGGGUUCUGGACUCAUUAUCAAUACUCUGGGGUUCUGGACUCAUUAUCAAUACUCUGGGGUUCUGAACUCAUUAUCAAUACUCUGGGGUUCUGGACUCAUUAUCAAUACUCUGGGGUUCUGAACUCAUUAUCAACAGUCUGGGGUUCUGAACUCAUUAUUUAUUAUGUUUACAAACCCAGGGAACUAACAGGAAUAUCUAUGAGGUCGUCUCUGUCAGCCAACAUCUCCCACCAGGUGAAGGGAGUCUUCUGUCCCAUAAAUACCAGAGCCCAAUCCCAAAUGGACCCCUAGACCCUACGCCCUACGCCCUAUGCACUUGUGGAGAUCUGAGAAGAUUUUACUUGUAUAGGAGGAUUUGAUUGGUUUAAGAGGAUUUGAUUGGUUUAAGAGGAUUUGAUUGGUUUAAGAGGAUUUGAUUGGUUUAAGAGGAUUUGAUUGGUUUAAGAGGAUUUGACUGGUUUAAGAGGAUUUGAUUGGUUUAAGAGGAUUUGAUUGGUUUAAGAGGAUUUGACUGGUUUAAGGAGGAUUUGAUUGGUUUAAGAGGAUUUGAUUGGUUUAAGAGGAUUUGAUUGGUUUAAGAGGAUUUGAUUGGUUUAAGAGGAUUUGAUUGGUUUAAGAGGAUUUGACUGGUUUAAGGAGGAUUUGAUUGGUUUAAGAGGAUUUGAUUGGUUUAAGAAAGAUGGUGAAACUUCCACCUAACCUGUCAAAUCCUCUCAGAUCUUCCACAUAAGGAGUAGGGUUUAGAGCAUAGGGUGUAGGGGUUUAAGGGUCCAUUUGGGACUGGGCCCUGUUAGUCCUACAGUAGGUGUUUAACAUGUUCGCCAACCACAUCAUAUGAUAUAACAAUCUGCUGCCCGACGGAGCAGUUGAUGACGUGGCACACAACCAUUGGUUGAUGUAAUGCAACGUCUGUCGAUGUGGUCAGACCAUCAUCAUUGUGUUUCGAACCAUCUCAGACCACAUCUAGGCCCUCCUCCUUAUCCUCGACUACUAGAGUUCCCUACCAAAUGGGACCCUAUUCUAUGUAUAUAGUAGACUUCCCCUUUAAGUGACAAUGUCUGGACUUUCCCUUUUAAGAGACCAGCUCUGGACUUCCCCUUUAAUGUGAGAGAUGUUAGCGGCUCAGAUUAUUGACAGAGGUACUACAACAUCCAGAACCAAAUAUAUCUAUACACCGUCCUGUCAACAAGACGUGGUCCCUGGGAGAGAAGGGAGCAGUGAAGGGAAUAGGGGGUAGGGAGUAGGGAGUAGGGGGUAGGGAGUAGGGGGUAGGGUGUAAGGAGUAGGGGCUAGGGAGUAGGGGGUAGGGGCUAGGGGGUAGGGAGUAGGGGCUAGGGAGUAGGGGGUAGGGGCUAGGGAGUAGGGGCUAGGGAGUAGGGGGUAGGGCGUAAGGAAUAGGGGCUAGGGAGUAGGGGGUAGGGGCUAGGGAGUAGGGGCUAGGGUGUAGGGGCUAGGGAGUAGGGGCUAGGGAGUAGGGGUUUGGGAGCAGUGUAGGGAGUAGGGUGUAGGGGUUAGGGGCUAGGAAGUAGGGGGUAGGGAGUAGGGUGUAGGGAGUAGGGGGUAGGGGCUAGGGUGUUGGGAGUAGGGAGUAGAGGGGAUGGGUGUGCUGUAGGUCUGGCAGGGCAGUAUAUAUAUAUAUGUGUGUGUUCAUCUACAUUAAUUUUAUUUACAUAUACAAUAUCAGUACAUACUGAAUAUCACACAGAAGACAACCAGAGAUGCUCGAUGGAUGGAGAGAUGGACGGAGGGAUGGACAGUGUUGAUGGAGGAAGAUAAGGAUAUAGAGAAAGAGAAGGAUGGAGGAGAGGAGGAGAAGGAAGAGAAAAGGAGGAGAAGAGGAAGAUGAGGAUGAGGAGGAUGAGGGGAGGAUGGAAGGAGGAGGAGGAGAAGAGCAUCUGGUGAACACUCCUCCUCCCACCGUUCUACUCCCCUCUACCUCCCCCACUCCCCUCUACCUCCCCCCCUCCCA
rnacentral:lncRNA from 1 species